rnacentral:rRNA from 1 species
UGGCUAACUCCGUGCCAGCAGCCGCGGUAAUACGGAGAGGGCUAGCGUUAUUCGGAAUCAUUGGGCGUAAAGGGCGCGUAGGCGGGUUAGUAAGUUAAAAGUGAAAUCCCAAGGCUCAACCUUGGAAUUGCUUUUAAAACUGCUAAUCUAGAGAUUGAAAGAGGAUAGAGGAAUUCCUAGUGUAGAGGUGAAAUUCGUAAAUAUUAGGAGGAACACCAGUGGCGAAGGCGUCUAUCUGGUUCAAAUCUGACGCUGAGGCGCGAAGGCGUGGGGAGCAAACAGGAUUAGAUACCCUGGUAGUCCAC